rnacentral:lncRNA from 1 species
GGACUGUGAUAGUCAUGAGCUGAGAUAAGCUUGGUACUACUUCUUUUUUUAUUUAUUUCUUGAUUUUUAUUUUCUUUGUAGAAAAAGAGUUAUGAAUAAUUUUUCAAAAAUGUGAAGUAAUGUUCUAGAAUGAAAAGAGAUUCGAUAUUGUCAAAGAAAGAAUUCAAUUUAUUAAAUGUUGAGUUAUACAAUGGUGAAUUGAAAGAGAAUAAUUGAAAAUACUUGUGAAGAAUGGAUAUGAAUGGAAGGAUU